GAAGCUUCCCUCCGUCACAUUCAGCGUCUCCUCCAACGACAACAAGGGCUUCUGUUGUGGGAGGGAACAAACACAGUUACCUAGCAACGGACGCUCUGCCCUCAACUCACCAGCCCCACUUCCCAAAGGGACCAGCCCCUCCCGUUCACAUAGGUUCAGCAGCGUUCUAGAGCGCCUCCCUCACCUCCACUGCUCUCCCAGCCCCAGGGGACAACUCUACUUCUGUUGCUGCCACAGCUCUAUCGUUCCACCCCUUUCCAUAGGCUCCGCCUGCUUGGAGAAGGGAGGGCCCGCUCCACGAGGCUAUCCGACCCAGCCAACCGGCCCCUUCAUAUGAGAGCCGCCAGCAUCCCACAGGUUCACCAGGUCCCUCAUCUGCCACGCAGAGGACCUGGCGGCACUUCCUCCACGGGGCUGUUGUGGUGACCAAGGGAGGAAGCAUCUGUGGCAUGUCAGAGAGCGCCUCUCCCCCUCCACAGCAAAUGCAGUCUCCGUCUUUCCCCGUGACUUUAGCAACGCUGCUGCGUGCUGGAAGCGCGCCUGUUUCCCUCCCCUACGCAAUGCGCCCCACUCACACAACCACCAGCCACUUGCUCUGCUUCGCCAGCCCCAGGAGGGUGAAGAGGCAAACCAGAAGCACCAAGAGCAGCAGGAGGACGUAGACCAGCCACCUGCGGGAAGAAGGGUCAAGCAAGACAGUGGGCCUCAGGAGCCCAGCAGGACCUCAGACUCACCCCAGCCCAACCCGAUCCUGCAGCCUCCCCGCUGCCCAGUGAAGUUCCUUGGUGAAACGGGGGCCUGGGCCCACAAGACUCUGGAAUAUUCUUCAGCACAGGGUCUCGAGUUGAAGCACCUGGGGCCUACUCUGACCAAAUCACCCAGAAGUUCUGUGGUCUCUGAGUAGGAUCCCCAAGCCAGCACUGUAGGGUGUCAUUCACCCGGGAUCCUAUUGCACACCAGAGAUAUGAAGCCUAGGUCUCAAUCCCUCAAUUAGCCAUGUGACCUAUCUGCCUCAGUUCGGUUUCCCUACCAGUAACAUGAGUGGCACAACAGGAUCAGUUUCAGAA